UACGUAGGGGGCAAGCGUUGUCCGGAUUUACUGGGCGUAAAGAGCGUGUAGGCGGCCUUCUAAGUCGAACGUGAAAUCCCCGGGCUCAACCCGGGAACUGCGUCCGAUACUGGAAGGCUUGAAUCCGGGAGAGGGAUGCGGAAUUCCAGGUGUAGCGGUGAAAUGCGUAGAUAUCAGGAAGAACACCCGUGGCGAAAGCGGCUCUCUGGAACGGUACUGACGCUGAGACGCGAAAGCGUGGGGAGCAAACAGG
rnacentral:rRNA from 1 species